CUAAGAAUCUGUCCUUUCAAAUUUAUUGGUCCAUUGGCACUAAAAUAAUGCUGGUACUUUUGGUCCGACCUCAUUUUUCUUUCGGCAUGAUGGUACUGAAUUGUAAUAUCAUGCAAAUAUGCAACCCAUCUGGAGAUGACUAAAUCAUGACUUGAAAUAAAACUGAACAUUUCAUGAAGUUGAGUGAAUAGAGAAGAACUGCAGAACUAGCAGGAAUUACAGAAUAAAAA